UACGUAGGGUCCGAGCGUUGUCCGGAAUUAUUGGACGUAAAGGGCUCGUAGGCGGUUAGUCGCGUCGGGAGUGAAAACUCAGGGCUCAACCCUGAGCGUGCUUCCGAUACGGGCUGACUAGAGGUAUGCAGGGGAGAACGGAAUUCCUGGUGUAGCGGUGGAAUGCGCAGAUAUCAGGAGGAACACCGGUGGCGAAGGCGGUUCUCUGGGCAUUACCUGACGCUGAGGAGCGAAAGCAUGGGGAGCGAACAGG
rnacentral:rRNA from 1 species